UAAGAUUUCAGAAUAUCAUCAUAAAUCAUUCACAUUUCUAAACCAAUAAAACGCAGCGCACUAUCUGAUCAUCGUCUGUGUUAUCUCCAUGCAUCUUCUCCAUCUUCUCGCAUCUACUUUUUCGAUGCGUAUCCUGACUGUCACUAGUGCAUCUUUCUGUUAUCGCAUCACUAAAACAACAACAUGUUUCUCAUUCGUUCAUACAAGUGCAUUCGAAUGGGAAAAAUACUAAAUUUAUGAUAAUUGUUGUUAGUUUCCUCGUGAAUCGUAAUUGAAAACGGUCCCAGACAGGUCAUACGUAGGUUGUAUUAUUUGGAGGAGUUCCGAAUGCACUAGACACUGGAUUACAGAGGAUCUUCUAGGAGCCUUCACCGGAUUACAGACAGAACCAAAAUAUGAGACGAAAUUUUCAAAAGAGCAAAGGAAGAGUAAAAACAUUCCUUCCGGAUUCAUAGACACGCAAUUGAUAAUAAAGUGACAUGAAUGUCCCUGAAUUAUAUUCGAAACAUUGGUUCCCACAAAACUAUUUUCUAUUGAUUAGAAAUGCAGGAAACAAAUAAAUAUGUAUAAUGUGUAA